rnacentral:rRNA from 1 species
UACGUAGGGUGCAAGCGUUGUCCGGAAUUAUUGGGCGUAAAGGGCUCGUAGGCGGUUUGUCGCGUCGGGAGUGAAAACCCAGGGCUUAACUCUGGGCUUGCUUUCGAUACGGGCAGACUAGAGGUAUGCAGGGGAGAACGGAAUUCCUGGUGUAGCGGUGAAAUGCGCAGAUAUCAGGAGGAACACCGGUGGCGAAGGCGGUUCUGC